ensembl:lncRNA
GAAAAAGUUAUUUCAGAGUCACUCAGAUGAGGAAUGCACAAGAGUCAGAGAGAUGUUUCUUUAGUCUAUGUUUAUUAUAACAUGCGCAUGGAACUCUCCUCGUGUCACCACAGCAGAGAGUUAAGUUCAGCAUCAUUUCACAACAUUAUAUUCCAUCCUCUAUAUGGCAUCCCCACCCCUCUGCACGUACAUUCGUGUCCAGAAAUAAUCUCUUUUCGCAGAAUCGUGGCCAUUUUAUGUUUAAUGUUCCCUAAUUCGUAGAAUCAGUGAUUGACUCUAUUGGUCUUCUGAGUAGAGUGUCCUAUUGGGGCUGUCUGUCACUCUCAAAGAAGGUUUCAUCACACCACAGGCUCUUCUUUGAGAGAUUUCCACCUGUAGUGAUCAUUAUUCAGACUCAAAAUGGAGGUUGCUAAAUGUCAUCUCGUCCUUAAGUUUCCUUCGUCGUCUGGACCCCAGUGGCGC